rfam:Ailuropoda melanoleuca scaffold1952_7, whole genome shotgun sequence.
GACGGAGUGGCCGAGUGGUUAAGGCGAUGGACUGCUAAUCCAUUGUGCUCUGCACGCGUGGGUUCAAGUCCCACCUUCGUCG